rnacentral:rRNA from 1 species
UAGCGAAAGCGAAUGCUUAGUGGUGGGGUGACUGCGUACCUUUUGUAUAAUGGGUCAGCGACUUAUAUUCUGUAGCAAGGUUAACCGUAUAGGGGAGCCGUAGGGAAACCGAGUCUUAACCGGGCGUUAAGUUGCAGGGUAUAGACCCGAAACCCGGUGAUCUAGCCAUGGGCAGGUUGAAGGUUGGGUAACACUAACUGGAGGACCGAACCGACUAAUGUUGAAAAAUUAGCGGAUGACCUGUGGCUGGGGGUGAAAGGCCAAUCAAACCGGGAGAUAGCUGGUUCUCCCCGAAAGCUAUUUAGGUAGCGCCUCGUGAAUUCAUCUCCGGGGGUAGAGCACUGUUUCGGCUAGGGGGCCAUCCCGGCUUACCAACCCGAUGCAAACUGCGAAUACCGGAGAAUGUUAUCACGGGAGACACACGGCGGGUGCUAACGUCCGUCGUGAAGAGGGAAACAACCCAGACCGCCAGCUAAGGUCCCAAAGUCAUGGUUAAGUGGGAAACGAUGUGGGAAGGCCCAGACAGCCAGGAUGUUGGCUUAGAAGCAGCCAUCAUUUAAAGAAAGCGUAAUAGCUCACUGGUCGAGUCGGCCUGCGCGGAAGAUGUAACGGGGCUAAACCAUGCACCGAAGCUGCGGCAGCGA